UCUCCGUAGGUGAACCUGCGGAGGGAUCAUUACAGAGUUCAUGCCCUAACGGGUAGAUCUCCCACCCUAUGUUAUCAUCACUUUGUUGCUUUGGCGAGCCGUCAGGCCUCGGCUUGGCUACCGGCUCUCGCUGGUAAGCGCCCGCCAGAGAACCCCAAACCCUGAAUAUCAGUGUCGUCUGAGUACUAUAUAAUAGUUAAAACUUUCAACAACGGAUCUCUUGGUUCUG
rnacentral:misc_RNA from 1 species